rnacentral:rRNA from 1 species
AUAAGAUAUCAAGGGCAACAGGUGAAUGCCUUGGCGCUGAGAGGCGAUGAAAGACGCGGUAAGCUGCGAUAAGCAUCGGGGAGGAGCUAAACAUCCUACGAUCCGAUGAUUUCUGAAUGGGGAAACCCGGCGGGAGUCAUGUCCCGUCGCCUGCAGGUGAAUACAUAGCCUGCAAGGAGCCAACUCGGGGAAGUGAAACAUCUCAGUACCCGAAGGAAAGGAAAUCAAACGAGACUCCCUCAGUAGCGGCGAGCGAAGGGGGAAGAGCCCAAACCGUGCGGAUUCGUCCGUGCGGGGUUGUAGGACCGGCAUAAGUGAUUCGCGAGUAGGCAGGGGAAGGAGGCUGGAAAGCCUCGCCAAAGCGGGUGAAAGCCCCGUACCCGAACCUGAAAACGACGCUGCCGGCACCUGAGUACCGCGAGGCACGUGAAACCUCGUGGGAAUCUGGGAGGACCAUCUUCCAAGGCUAAGUACUACCCGACGACCGAUAGUGCACCAGUACCGUGAGGGAAAGGUGAAAAGAACCCCUGUCAGGGGAGUGAAAUAGAAUCUGAAACCUGUUGCCUACAAGCUGCGAGAGCUGCUUUUUGCAGUGAUCGCGUGCCUUUUGUAUAAUGAGUCAGCGAGUUACUCUACCGUGCGAGGUUAAGCGAAAGCGUAGCCGUAGUGAAAGCGAGGCUUAAUAGGCCGACUAGUACGUUGGAGUAGACCCGAAACCGGGUGAUCUAUCCAUGAGCAGGUUGAAGCAAGGGUAAAGCCUUGUGGAGGACCGAACCGUCAACGGCUGAAAACGUUCCGGAUGACUUGUGGAUAGGGGUGAAAGGUCAAUCAAACCCGGUGAUAGCUGGUUCUCCCCGAAAUAUAUUGAGGUAUAGCCUCGGGAAUUGAUUAGCGGAGGUAAAGCACUGACAGAGCUAGGGGUCCUACCAGAUUACCAAACUCUAUCAAACUCAGAAUGCCGCUUAAUUGUAUCCCGGGAGUCAGACGGCGGGUGCGAAGGUUCGUCGUCAAAAGGGAAACAGCCCAGACCAACAGCUAAGGUCUCCAAAUCCAUGCUCAGUGGUGAAGGUAGUGGAACCGUUCAGACAGCCAGGACGUUGGCUUAGAAGCAGCCAUCAUUUAAAGAAAGCGUAAUAGCUCACUGGUCUAAUGACGUUGCGCCGAAAAUGUAACGGGGCUAAGCAUAGUGCCGAAGCUUUGAAUUCCGCGUAUGCGGUCUGGUAGGGGAGCGUUCUUCAUGGGCUGAAGGCGUGCUGUAAAGCACGUUGGACUGUGGAGAAGUGAUUAUGCUGACAUGAGUAACGAUAAAAUAUGUGAAAAACAUAUUCGCCGAAAACCCGAGGUUUCCUGGGUAAAGGUAAUCUUCCCAGGGUUAGUCGGCCCCUAAGGCGAGGCUGAAAGGCGUAGCUGAUGGGAAACGAGUUAAUAUUCUCGUACUUGUGUGUCCGCGCGAUGGAGGGACGCAGGAAGGUAAACGGUCCGGGUGUUGGUAUACCCGGUGCAAGCAGGUAGGCGUGCAGCACAGGCAAAUCCGUGCUGCUCUACGCUGAGACGCGAGUCCGUGGCCGCAAGGCCUGAAGCCGUUGAGCCUCUACUGCCUAGAAAAGCUCCUAAGUAUAGGAUACGCAAACCGUACUGCAAACCAACUCAGGUGGGUGGGAUGAAUAAUCCAAGGCGCUCGAGAGAACUCUGGCCAAGGAACUCGGCAAAAUAACCCCGUAACUUCGGAAGAAGGGGUGCUCUCUAGGGUGACAUGUUUAACAUAUGAAGCCCCGGGGAGCCGCAGUGAAUUGGUGGUGGCGACUGUUUACUAAAAACAUAGGUCUGUGCGAAGUCCUAAAGACGACGUAUACGGACUGACGCCUGCCCGGUGCCGGAAGGUUAAAAGGAGGGGUCAGCGCAAGCGAAGCUCCGAAUUGAAGCCCCGGUAAACGGCGGCCGUAACUAUAACGGUCCUAAGGUAGCGAAAUUCCUUGUCGGGUAA